rnacentral:rRNA from 1 species
UACGUAGGGUGCAAGCGUUGUCCGGAAUUAUUGGGCGUAAAGAGCUCGUAGGCGGUUCGUCGCGUCGGCUGUGAAAACCCGAGGCUCAACCUCGGGCCUGCAGUGGGUACGGGCAGACUAGAGUGCGGUAGGGGAGAUUGGAAUUCCUGGUGUAGCGGUGGAAUGCGCAGAUAUCAGGAGGAACACCAAUGGCGAAGGCAGAUCUCUGGGCCGUAACUGACGCUGAGGAGCGAAAGCAUGGGGAGCGAACAGGAUUAGAACCUACCGUAGUCA